AUUUUGUGUAUAACGACAGAUUAACUCUCAGGAUGAGCGAGGAAGACGAGAAAUACUUUAAAGACGAAUACGACAAAUACGACGUUGACCAGGAUAAGGUCGUGCAUUCCAGUCACAGCGGUAAGGGUCGGACAAAGAAGGAGGUUGACCAGCAUCAUCACACCGACCCCAGUGGACACACGCGGAAAAAUGUCCAGAAGCUCGUUAAUAAUGCACACAACCAACGAGAUCCUCCGAAACAGUAAUACUUAGGAUGCGUCCAGGUGAACUGACAUACCGGAACAAACAGAGGAUUAAUGGACAAGGAUGUCGGAUUUCGUGCAAAAGCUGAUUGACAGUCUCUUUAAGGUGAUUGGUAUGUCACGUGAAACAUUAAUUUACCAAUAAAAGUUUGCUGAUAUUCUUCAUCAAGGUGGAAGACUGUUAAUCACGUGAACUAAAUUGUUAAUGUGAGGCUGUCCAUGCCGGACGAGAAGCUGGAGAGAUCUCUGGGAUCGUCACAAAAUGAAAAAAAAAUAUUGUACUUACAUUGUUGUUAAAAAGUUUUCUUUGUUGAUAA